rnacentral:rRNA from 1 species
UACACUCCUACGGGAGGCAGCAGUGGGGAAUUUUGGACAAUGGGCGAAAGCCUGAUCCAGCAAUGCCGCGUGAGUGAAGAAGGCCUUCGGGUUGUAAAGCUCUUUUGUCAGGGAAGAAACGGUGAGAGCUAAUAUCUCUUGCUAAUGACGGUACCUGAAGAAUAAGCACCGGCUAACUACGUGCCAGCAGCCGCGGUAAUACGUAGGGUGCAAGCGUUAAUCGGAAUUACUGGGCGUAAAGCGUGCGCAGGCGGUUUUGUAAGUCUGAUGUGAAAUCCCCGGGCUCAACCUGGGAAUUGCAUUGGAGACUGCAAGGCUAGAAUCUGGCAGAGGGGGGUAGAAUUCCACGUGUAGCAGUGAAAUGCGUAGAUAUGUGGAGGAACACCGAUGGCGAAGGCAGCCCCCUGGGUCAAGAUUGACGCUCAUGCACGAAAGCGUGGGGAGCAAACAGGAUUAGAAACCCUGGUAGUCCCAUG